ACAUGGUGAAAUUGCUCGGCCCCUUGUGACAACUCGCCUUUCUUUGUCCACAUUUAUUUGGGUUCUAAUAAACGAAGCGAGGGACAAGAAAAAAAAUAGUGAUGGUGUUUCCAAACCAAAUAAUCAAAUGUCCUUUGUAAGGCUAGUGGAA